UUCUCUCUGCCUCUCCAGCAACCCGUGGACUCCACAGGAGCUGGGCACCCAGCUGCUGCUUUACAACUUGUCACUCCAGAAGGAAGGAAGAAUGCUCAUGAAGAUUAACAUUGCAGAGAUUACAGCGAAGUGUGACUCCAAAGACCCGAUUUUUUGCUGCCUUCAGUGGAUCCCUGAUACUGGCCGCCGCCCAGCUGCUGGAGACCCUGGGGGCUGAGAGGCUGAGGCUCCACUGUCGUCGCAAUUCCAACCCCAAAGCACAGCGGAUUUUCAUCUGGGUUUCAGAGGAGUCAUUAUCUUCAUUUUGUUUCUGGACACUGGCGCUGACCCCCCCGAGAUAAGACAAACAGAAUGUGUUCUGUCUUCCCAAAGAUGCUACAUCAGCAUGUUAUUUCCCACUUAAAGCUUUUAAGCGUUUGACUUACACAUUUAUG